AUUACACAAAUCGAGACAACUACCAACUCUUAAGGCUACAAGAUUAACUUUUAAUGUAGAAAGUAAAUUAAAACUAAACCCAACCCAGCCAUAAUCCUAGCUGUCUCAACAAACCAUAAUCUUAGAACUCGGAUUAGAUACCCGACUACUAUAUGGCCCAACACAAAAAAGAAUACUACGAGCGAAAGCUUAAACCUCAAACAAUGUGGCGGUGCCUUACUCCUCAUCAGGGGAUCCUGUGGCUUAAUUCGAUAAUCCACGAAAAUCUUAGCUACCCUCGUACUUCAGCUUGUGUAUGGCCGUUUAUGCUUGCUCGAAAAAGAAAAAAAAGGAAGCAAUAGAACCAACUACUCAAAAAUUCAGGUGACAUACAGCCAAUGAGAAGCAGACCCAUGGGAUACAAAUAAACAUACUAUACAAACUUAAAGUUUCAAACUUUAACGAAGGAGGACUUGAAAGUAAGACUUUCAACUUUACACAAAAUAAGUCUGAAUAAGAACUAAAGCGCGCACAAAUCGCCCGUCACUCCGACAACAAAGUAGGACAAGUCGUAACACAGUAGGGGUAAUGGAAAUUGCCCCUAUCACA
rnacentral:rRNA from 1 species